rnacentral:rRNA from 1 species
ACUGGCAGCUAGCUCUCUGCAACUCUCACAUGGUGGCUCACUGAAGCUAAGCAGCGCUGCGCCAGGUCAGUACCUGGAUGGAAGAACACAUGUGAAAUCAGGUUGCGGCUGGAA